ensembl:lncRNA
GUUUUCCUUAACUCUAAAAUCUAGAGUAGGUAUCAACAUAUGAAUUUAGGAGAGGGAAAGACAUAAAUAUUUAGUCCAUAAAAGUAGGAUUCUUUAUGUAUAUUAGGAACUUCUCUCUGUGCACACUGAAAUGAGAUUUAAAAUGUGGAAAGAAAGCAGAAAUUUCCUCUAUUUUUAGACACCUUCUACCUCCAAUAUUAUGCAGAUACAGGGAGUUUCUACCAUAUCACUGAAGUGUCCAGUCUCUCGCUUAAUAGAUGUUUAGAGGCAAUUUUAUUCACAGCUGCAAUCAUUUCAUAUUGUUGAAUCAAAAAUUCAGUGGUGAAUUUUUAAACUUGGAAGUUCCUGUGGUGGCUUUCUGAUACCUACUUAGUGGCUCCCCAGGUGUUCACCUCUCCGCUGGAUCAGUUUUAAAAGAUUCUGGGAACCCUUCUGGGGAGACCAAAGAAGACCAUACUACAAGAAUUCUCUCUCUGUAUGACAAAUUACAAUGGAUUCUUAAGCACCAAAUUUCAUGAGCUAAAUUUUUUUGUGGUUGAAUUAUGUAGAGUGGUUUGGUUAUCGCUAUUGAACCCUCAUGAAGAGUACCUGCAAACCAGAAAGGUGUUGAUCAAAAGGAAGAAAGGAAAGAAGAAAGAAAGGAAUGAUCAGUGUAAGAAAAGAACAGAAAAAUAUCUAGUGAGUAGAAAGAUGGAAAAGGAUAUUUUCAAUUACAGAAAGAGAAAUAUUGAAUGCGGUAUAAGAAUAGCAAAACUGAACAUGAAGAAGACAUAGAGAUAGAUAUAGAUAUAGAUAUCUAUUAGCACCGAAGAUGCAUCUCUCCACUGACACCUUGUAUUUGUAAAAUUCCUCUUCCAAAUUUUACACAGAGUAAGUCUGUGCAACGAGUAGAGUAAGAAGAAGUUAUGCUGCGUAAUUUACAAGUUAGGUUGUAUACACUGAGCAGAGAUUGUCGCUGGGCUCUUGCUUGCUUAUGCUGUCAUUCUCUUCCUCUUUCUUUCAUCCCUCACUCUGGGUGAGGUCAGCAUCUGUGUGGUGUGUAUAGCCUAUAAGGAGGCCCACCUCGCUGGGAACUGAAGCCUCUUUCUAUCAGCCACAAGAAUGGGUUUGAAAAUAGAAUGCCCAGUCUCUUCAGAUGACUGCAGCCACGACGGACAACAUGGUGGAAACUUCAUGAGAGAUGCUGAGCCACAACCACCCAGCUAAGUCAUGUUCGCAUUCCUAACUCUCAGAAACUGUGUGAAAUAAUAAGUGUUUAAAUGUUUGUUGUUGUAAGCUCUGAAGUUUUGAAGUAAUUUGUUACACAGCAAUGCAGAGAUAAUACAUGAAUAUAUACAUAGGUAAAUUGAUGUAUAUGUAUAUUGUGUGUAUAUAUAUUUACAGUUAACUUUGGUGAAUGUUGCUGACUAAAAUUAAAUAUAACAAUUUAAAGUCAACAUUGUUUCCGGUACAUUAUUGGAAUAGCUUAGCAAAGUCCUUAAAGUAACUCAAAAUAUAAACUCCUUCUGCCAUCUAUUGGUGACUUGAAUAACUUCUCAGAUUAUUUUGUAGUUUCAUUCUUUUUAGGAUGAGCUAUAUUUGAAAUGUACACAGAUAUAUUCUAAACUCUUGGAUAUUAGCUGUUUAAUAUUGACAAAAAUUUUUUGUCAUUCCUAUUAUCUCACUAGAUAACCACUUAUCCUAGAGAAAAC